UACAGAGGUGGCAAGCGUUGUUCGGAAUUACUGGGCGUAAAGGGCGCGUAGGCGGUCUUGUAAGUCCCGCGUGAAAUCCCCCGGCUCAACUGGGGAACUGCGUGGGAAACUGCGAGGCUUGAGUUCGGGAGAGGGAAGCGGAAUUCCGGGUGUAGCGGCGGAAUGCGCAGAUAUCAGGAGGAACACCAACGGCGAAGGCAGCUCGCUGGGACGAUACUGACGCUGAGGCGCGAAAGCGUGGGGAGCGAACAGG
rnacentral:rRNA from 1 species